rnacentral:rRNA from 1 species
CACGUAGGGCGCGAGCGUUGUCCGGAAUUAUUGGGCGUAAAGAGCUCGUAGGCGGUCUGUUGCGUCCGCUGUGAAAGCCCGGGGCUUAACCCCGGGUCGGCAGUGGAUACGGGCAGGCUAGAGGUAGGUAGGGGAGAAUGGAAUUCCCGGUGUAGCGGUGAAAUGCGCAGAUAUCGGGAGGAACACCGGUGGCGAAGGCGGUUCUCUGGGCCUUACCUGACGCUGAGGAGCGAAAGCGUGGGGAGCGAACAGG